ensembl:lncRNA
ACCUGCUCAUGCAGGCUAGAGAAACUUCAGAGGAGUUUGUAAGUUGAAACACUCUUGUCACGCCCAGGAAUUUUUAUUAACUGGAGCUGCAAGUUAACUCCUUCUCCGAGAGAAAUGGUGAUGGGGAGAGCCCCCCGUAAAGUCAGAGGUGUAGGUGAGAGCAUAAAACAGACUCUGGUGUUGGGGGUAGAUGCUCGGGAACAGGGGGUUUCCUGAGGCUUGAUCUCGCCUUUGCGUAAUGCUGAGCCUCCUUCCUCAUGACUUUGCCAUGGGCGGAGUUCCUCAAGCUGGCUCCCGGCAGCCUAGCACAUUACAAGUGAUGGAUGGCUGAGUGAAUGAGAAGGAACUAGGCAUGCUCAUAAUCUAAUCUUAAUGACAUAAGAUGAAAUUCCGUGCAUAAGUGGUCUUCCAAAAACACAAGAGAAGACUCUACACAUGGACAUCACCAGAUGGUCAAUACCAAAUUCAGAUUGAUUAUAUUCUUUGCAGCAAAAGAUGGAGAAGCUCUAUACAGUCAAAGAAACAAGACUGGGAGCUGACUGUGGCUCAGAUCAGGAGCUCCUUAUUGCAAAAUUCAGACUUAAAUUGAAGAAAGUAGGGAAAACCACUAGACCAUUCAAGUAUGACCUAAAGCAAAUCCUUUAUGAUUAUACAGUGGAAAUAACAAAUAGAUUCAAGGGAUUAGAUAUGAUAGACAGAGUGCCUGAAGAACUAUGGCAGAGGUUCAUGACACUGUACAGGAGGCAGUGAUAAAGACCAACCCCAAGAAAAAGAAAUGCAAAAAGGCAAAAUCGUUGUCUGAGGAGACCUUACAAACAGCUGAGACAGGAAGAGAAGCAAAAGGCAAAGGAGAAAAGGAAAGAUAUACCCAUUUGAAUGCAGAGUUCCAAAGACUAGUAAGGAGAGAUAAGAAAGCCUUCCUCAGUGAACAAUGCAAAUAAAUAGAGGCAAACAAUAGAACGGGAAAGACUAGAGAUCUCUUCAAGAAAAUUAGAGAUACCAAGGGAACAUUUCAUGCAAAAAUGGGCUCAGUAAUGGGGGAGCCUGGUGGGCUGCCGUCUAUGGGGUCACACAGAGUCGGACACGACUGAAGUGACUUAGCAGUAGCAGUAGCAGCAGUAAAGGACAAAAAUGAUUUGGACCUAACAGAAGCAGAAGAUAUUAAGAAGAGGUGGCAAGAAUACACAGAAGAACUAUACAAAAAAGAUCUUAAUAACCCAGAUAACCAUGAUGGUGUGAUCAUUCACCUAGAGCCAGAUAUCCUGGAAUGUGAAAUCAAGUAGGUAGGAAGCAUCACUAUGAACAAAGCUAGUGGAGGUGAUGGAAUUCCAGUUGAGCUAUUUCAAAUCCUAAAAGAUGAUACUAUAAAAGUGUGGCACUCAAUAUGCCAGCAAAUUUGGAAAACUCAGCAGUGGCCACAGGACUGGAAAAAGUCAGUUUUCAUUCCAAUCCCAAAGAAAGGCAAUGCCAAAGAAUGUUCAAACUACCUCACAAUUGCACUCAUCUCACACGCUAGAAAAGUAAUGAUCAAAAUUCUCCAAGCCAGGUUUCAACAAUAUGUGAACUGUGAACUUCCAGAUGUUCAAGCUGGUUUUAGAAGAAGCAGAGGAACCAGAGAUCAAAUUGCCAACAUCCGUUGGAUCAUCAAAAAAGCAAAAGGGUUCCAGAAAAAUAUCUACUUCUGCUUUAUUGACUAUGCCAAAGCCUUUGCGUGGAUCACAAUAAACUGAAAAAUUCUUCAAGAGAUGGGAAUACCAAACCACCUUACAUGCUUCCUGAGAAAUCUGUAUGCAGGUCAGGAAGCAACAGUUAGAACUGGACAUGGAAAAACAGACUGGUUCCAAAUAGGAAAAGGAGUACGUCAAGGCUGUAUAUUGUCACCUUGCUGAUUUAACUUAUAUGCAGAGUACACCAUGCAAAAUGCUGGGCUGGAAGAAGCACAAGCUGGAAUCAAGAUUGCCAGGAGAAAUAUGAAUAACCUCAGAUAUGCAUAUGACAUCAUCCUUAUGGCAGAAAGUAAAGAAGAACUAAAGAGCCUCUUGAUGAAAGUGAAAGAGGAGAGUGAAAAAGUUGGCUCAAAACUCAAAUUCAGAAAACUAAGAUCAUGGCAUCCAGUCCCAUAACUUCAUGGCAAGUAGAUGGGGAAGCAGUGAGAGACUUUAUUUUUGGGGGGCUCCAAAAUCACUGCAGAUGGUGACUGCAGCCAUAAAAUUAAAAGAUGCUUGCCCCUUGGAAGAAAAGUUAUGAUCAACCUAGACAGCAUAUUAAAAAGCAGAGAUAUUACUUUGCCAACAAUGGUCCAUCUAGUCAAAGCUAUGGCUUUUCCAGUAGUCAUAUAUGGAUGUGAGAGUUGGACUAUAACGAAAGCUGAGAGCUGAAGAAUUGAUGCUUUUGAACUGUGGUGUUGGAGAAGACUCUUGAGAGUUCCUUGGACUAUAAGGAGAUCUGACCAGUCCAUCCUAAAGGAAAUCAGUCCUGAAUAUUCAUUGGAAGGACUGAUGCUGAAGCUGAAACUCCAAUACUUUGGCCAGCUGAUGCAAAGAACUGAC